rnacentral:rRNA from 1 species
AGCAGCCGCGGUAAUUCCAGCUCCAAUAGCGUAUAUUAAAGUUGUUGCAGUUAAAAAGCUCGUAGUUGAAUUUCGGGAUCAAUUAAUUGGUCGUGCCUCUGGUACGUACUGAUUUUAUUGGUUUCUCCCUUCUGACGAACCAUGAUGUCAUUAAUUUGGUGUCGUGGAGAAUCAGGACUGUUACUUUGAAAAAUUAGAGUGUUUAAAGCAAGCUAACGCUUGAAUACAUUAGCAUGGAAUAAUGAAAUAGGACGUUUGAUCCUAUUUUGUUGGUUUCUAGGAUCGACGUAAUGAUUAAUAGGGAUAGUUGGGGGCAUUAGUAUUCAAUUGUCAGAGGUGAAAUUCUUGGAUUUAUUGAAGACUAACUACUGCGAAAGCAUUUGCCAAGGAUGUUUUCAUUAAUCAAGAACGAAAGUUAGGGGAUCGAAGACGAUCAGAUACCGUCGUAGUCUUAACCAUAAACUAUGCCGACUAGGGAUCGGAUGAUGUUAAUUUUUAAUGACUCA